AAACAAACUCGCAAGGACGUUUUGGGAAAUUACAAAGCAGAGGCUGUGUUAUGAGAUGGGGAGCUCCCCUCACUAACCACUAACCAGCAGAAGCCGGACAGAAGAAAUUCCAGUAAUGGAGGAAAUCCAGUGGUGGGGACAAAGCAAAGAGAAAACGUGGACCUUCUGCUCAAGACUAGCUCAUUCCCACACAGAAAACUCCAGAGGCAAGCAGAGAUCCCUGGAAAUUGUGGAUCACAGUCUCAGAAUGAAGUGACCAAAAUGUUUUAUCAGUUCUGCCUCAGAUUUGAUUAUUACAGCACUGCAAAUAAAAACCUUGUUCUCAGAA